rnacentral:tRNA from 1 species
UUAAUUGAAGCCAAAAAGAGGCUAUUCAUUGUUAAUGAAUAAAUUGAUUAUAAAAUCCAAUUAAA